rnacentral:miRNA from 1 species
AUAGCUCAGCCGGUAAGAGGC